rnacentral:tRNA from 3 species
AAGACACUAGUAAAGCUGAGUAUUACCCCGCCUUGUCAAGGCGUAUUCGUGGGUUCGACCCCCACGUGUCUUA